rnacentral:rRNA from 1 species
ACAACUCUAUGCGGUGGAUCACUCGGCUCGUG